UGGAUGGCCAACACGUAGCCCCCCCCGGGCCUAUAAAGGCGUCCACCAAAAACCCUAGCACGCACUCGUCCAGCGUCCCUUGGUCCCCCUUUGCCUCCCUCCUCAUCCGCUCGUUUUAGAGCUCGAAUUCGGUGUGAUCACCGCUGCCUUGCCCUUGUUGCCGUGGCCACCGUGAUCACAGUCGCUGGGAGGCACGUCCUGGAGGGUCACCGUGCUCGGCUUCGUAUGUUCCGGGGACCAGCUCGAGUCGGGGUGCCGCGUAGAAGUCGCCAUCGCCGGUCUUCUUCACCGGCCGCCGCACACCAUCGCCGAUCCCGUCGCCCUCUACUGCUCCCGUCCCUCGCCGAGCCUUCCUUGUGCUCCUAGACUACGAGACUGACGCCGCUGCUGGUGCCCCGAUCGACUACGCUGUUGACGACCCCUCUUUCUUGCCAGAGCAACCAGACGAUGGAGUCCAGGAGCCAGAUGCCAUCGUCGACGACGACUCCUACUACACAGGGGUGCCUACUACUACGUGCAUGCCACUGACGACGACCAGGAGUUUAGGAGGAUCCCAGGCAGGAGGCCUGCGCCUCUUUUGAUUUGUAUCCCACUUUGUGCUAGCCUUCUUAAGGCAAACUUGUUUACUUAUGUCUAUACUCAGAUAUUGUUGCUUCCGCUGACUCGUCUAUGACCGAGCUCUUGCAUUCGAGCCCUCGAGGCCCCUGGCAUGUAAUAUGAUGCUUGUAUGACUUAUUUUAUUUGUAGAGUUGUGUUGUGAUAUCUUUCCA
rnacentral:rRNA from 1 species